rnacentral:sRNA from 1 species
GUCGAGAGCUCCCCCGCUUGCCCAGUCUUAUCGCUUCGAGUGGUCGCUCCAGCAACUGUUCGGGCGGAUCAAGGGAGAUUCCGGCGUGGGCGCCAAGCUCCAAGGCGAUCGUCGCGAUCCAGGCUACAGAUCGUCGAGAUCCAGGCUCGCACGGAGGCC